GUCCAUUGUUAAUAAAAAAUUAAUCUGAUCGAAGUCUAGUUAUACAUGUUUUGAAAUGUUGUAAUUUUUACAAUAAUUAUUGUCAAAAUAUUUUCUUUUAACAUGUAUACACAACUAAGAACUGCAUUACACUUAAUUUUUUUAAUUUUAGCACUGACUACCUACAACUUAUAAUAAACUUUGAGUAAAAUUUUCAAACAUUUUUGAAGAACCAAAACAAUUUUACCCACAUAAAAAACUCAAAAAUGUUAUGCCUAUAUUCUGUAAAUAACUAAAAAAUCGCCAGAAUAUAAUAAAUAUUUUACGAUGCAUAUAAAAGGCCAUUAUUAAUGUUCUGUGAAAAUGUUCGGCCUCUAUGAUUAUUUUUAACCAAAUUCCAUCAAAAACCCAAAAUCUAAAAUGAUAAAACUGAAUGCCGUAAACUUUCUUUGUUUUUCCGAAUUAUUAAAAAACUACAAGGAAAAUCAAUUAACUACCAACUUUCCAGGAAGGUGUCACACUUAAAAAUUGAGCAAAACAUUCCGGUAGAAGAUAUUCACAGAAAAAAAAUAAACAUUGCUUAACUAAUAGAAAAAAAAACAGAUGUUAUAUUCUGCAAUUUUCACUGUGAUUCAAUUUAUUUUAUUACUUAUGGAAAUGUACUAUGGGUUUUUAUAUUAUAAAUACAUUUAAUUGCUGUAGUUGGAAGUAAUAAGCUACCUGUUUUGUAAUGAUAGGUACUGGUAGUGUCAGUAUUUUGGUAAGUAGCAUGUAGCGUAAUAACACUAUAUUUUUUAUAGGAAAACAGCAC